GAAACGCGAUAGGUAUUGUGAAUUGCAGAAUCAGGGAAUCAUCGAAUUUUUGAACGCACCUUGCGCUCCUUGGUAUUCCUCGGAGCAUGCCUGUUUGAGUGUUGAUAGCCUCUCCAAACAAUUGAUUUUUUUUUUUUUCAAUUUGCUUUGGGUCCUUGGGCUUGUAGCGGCAACGUUACUUGCCUGAAAUACAUUCAGAAAAUCUGAAUUGGAUGUUAAGCAUGAUAUCCUCUUUGGUUUUCGAAAUUGGAUCACACUAUACAUACAACCUCAAAUCAGGUAGGACUACCCGCUGAACUUAA
rnacentral:misc_RNA from 1 species